UCGUGACGCGGGACCUUUGAUCUUCACUGCAUCACAUGAGCUUGCCCUUGCAGUCUGUGAACUCUUAAUGCGGCGUGUGGGAUCUCGUUCCCUGACCGGGGAUUGAACCCAGGCCCCCUGCAUUGGGAGCGUGGAGUCGUAGCCACCGGGCCACCAAGGAAGUCCCCGUGUCGCUCUUUAACUUGUCGCGGAACCUGGUUUUUUGUUGGCUCGACAGGCAGCAGGUCAGAUGCUGAGAUACUGAGUUUUGCUGCAGAGAAAUGGAUUAUUUGGAAGGCAGUAAUUGGGAAGACGGGAGAACCAGUCUCAGAUACGAGUCCCUGCAGAACUGCAAAAAGCCCCAACAUGCUAUUUUGGGAAAACCAAGUAAUUCUGCAGUCCUGAGUAUUCUAAGAUCCAGACGUGCCUUUCCAUCUGGAUGCACUUGUGUGACCCACCGCGGUUCCUGGUGGGCAGAGCCCGUUUCACCUGCGCUGAGAGUGGCCCCGGCGGAGUGCUUGCGCAUCUUUAACUGCUCCAUUAACCAGAUUAGUCUGCUGGAGCGUUCUCCUUCACCGCUGAGUGCAAAUCUCAUUACAGCCACUGGGCCCGGUUACUAAUUGCUGACAUUCUGGACCUGCCAGAUGCACUUGAAGUGGGUGGCGUGUGGUGGGACCCUGUAUGCUCAUCUUAGUGGAUUGGAUUGUACCUGAUGGCCUCUCCCAGUAGGCCUGCCCUGGUUCCUGAAUACAUAGCAAAACGAGCCCUCCACAGAAUGACUUUCUGAGGAUGACCUUGGAGACCAUCUGGGCCCACCGUUACCCGGACCCGCAGGCUGGUGUGGAGGGGACCGGAGCCAGG
ensembl:lncRNA